GGACCCAGGAUGGUUUAGAGAAAUAUUGGUAAUUACGACACAUGGAUUCUGGUUUCAACUUGCUCUUUGAACUGGGGAAAUGUACUUCACUUUGACUAUACCAUUUUCCCACCUGAAAUAAAUGAGUGUGGCACCAGAUCACUUAGCCUCAAGCCUUGAUGUACAUCAGAGUUAUUUGAGGCAAUGUGUUAAAAUGCACAAUCCAGGGCUCUACCCUGCAGAGAAUGAUUCAGAUGUCAGAAGGAGCAGUGUUCUAGGCUAUUCUGGUGCCUGGGCCCUCGGAACACACUUUGAGGAACUGUGAACUGAAUGAUACUUCACACUUCCCCUCUGUGGUUCUGGCACUCUUAAACACAGCACAGUCUCCAGCUUUAAUACUCAGCCUUCUGUAGAAGUCAGAAUAUGGUGUAGCCUCCUCAUUCAACCUUUAAGUCUUAGGGAGCUUUCCAUGGUUCUGAAGUCAGUUCCUGGGCUCUGUGAGUGAGCAGCUCUGGGUGGCACCUUCUGGGUGGCUGUUCCUUCACAAAGGGAGAUCAAAUCAACUGUAAGGUCUCUUCCUCCUGUGCUGAAGUUGUCUCAGCCUUCCCUCUGCUUGGUGAAAGAAGAAAGCUGCGUUCUUGUUUCCGUGCCAAGUUGCCAGUGCCCUGGUUUCCAUGACAGCAGAGAAGAAUGGAAGCCAGGCUCUCACCUCAAAGGAAUUAAAGCCCACCCUCUUGGAGAACAAACAAUGAUUCCAAGAGAGUUCUGGAAAUUGGAGACUGUUUGUUUUGAUUCAUCCAGCUGCACAGUAUGGGGCUCUAGGAAGGAGAAGGUGGUCUCAUGAGGUUGCCGUCAGAGUGUGAACUGGAGCUGGGCUGUGGCUGGGGCUCUCUCACAUGGCUGUCAGCAGAACUCAGGUCCUCAGCGUAUGGAAGCCUCCGUAAGGCUGAUUGAGCAUCUUCAUGACAUGGCGGCUGACUUCCCCAGAACAAGUGAUUCAAGAGAGAACAAGAUCCAUUCUUCAACUCCAUGAGACAAGAACCAAGCUCUCCUGCAUCAUUUUGAUGCCGAAACCUGGGAUCAGUCCCAGCAAAGGAUCUUUGGUGCAUCACUAUGAACAAGAUAACCUCAUGGGGGAAACGGGAUUUAUGAUACACAGCAAAAUCUCUCAGUCCUCUCUCCCUGAAGGACGGUCUGUGCAACAGCAGCAUCUGAAAUUGUCAGAAAUUCAGAAUCUCCGGCCCCCCCUCAGGCCUGUAAACCCAAAUCUGCAUUUUAACACGAUCCCCAGGCCCUGGGCCAGCCAGCACUUUCUGUACCUCUUCUUCAUUUCUCACAGAAGCUCCUUGAGAUUCAAGCAAUUUCCCCCCAGAGAAGCGCUGCUGCGUGGUGCUGUCUGUGGUGCUGAAGUGGACCUGUCCUCCUAGCUCGGCCCUUAUAGCCUGUCCAAAUCUCAGCCUCUCUCGAUCCCACUUUGAUCCCUGUUCCUGAUUUCACCUCAGACUAUUGUACUUAGCAUUAUGCAACAUCAGAGUGGGAAUAUCAAACCGAGGCCUCAAGAGCUCAGGUUUAGCAUUGCAAUAAAAGAAUACCUUGCAAUAGAACAUCAUUACUUGCAGCUUAUGAAGUGCAGGUAUCAUUUACCUUGGGCCCUCCCUGCCCAGGACAACAUGGCCAAUGACAUUUUGCCAUCUGAGGAUUGUUAAUGGAGUUGCCCCCUGAUUGAGAAGCUCCGUGACGCAUCUUGUCCUUAAUCAUGUGGACACUAGAAAGAAAAGGACUUAGAAGAUUUGCUUCUGUGUCGCUCAGGGCAGCUGGGGUGAGCAAGCCCUCACUGGGUGCCCUGGGGUUAGAUGGCCUGUCUGCCAAGAAGUUAAUUGAUUCUUUAGGUUAACACUAUUUUGUGUGCACAGACAAAUCUGGGCAUCCAUUCUGCUUAAUGUGAUGCUGAGAGUUUCCUGUGAGUUCUACAGAUCCUGGCUCUAACUUAUGACUUCAUGGAACUCUGCUCUGUGAAGCCACUGAUUUCUUUGUGAAACCAUUGAUUUAAAAAAAAUGAAUUCAA